ensembl:lncRNA
GCCCUCCCGGGCCGCGCACGCGCGCUGGGCCCCGCGGGCCGCGCGUCCCGGAGCGGCGACGCCAGCCUCUCACCGCGGCCCCACACCCUUAUCCGCCAGCUGCUCUGAAGCAGUGGCCUGGACGCCGCUGCUCUGGGCGCGGGGAAUGGUAAAGCUGGCGGUUUCGUCCCUAGAAAGGAACCCGGAGCUGGGGAGGGCUCCGACUUCAGCGCGAGCCCUGUGACCCGGGGUGGCUGGGCUCCUCGGGCCGCAGUUUCCCUGUGGUGGAGAUCCCAGUAUCCCCGUCGGAAGGCUGCGCCCAGCAGCGGAGGCAGUGGGUGCACGCCCUGUGCACACCGUGCCUGGGCUAUCACUGUGGCGUCGGUGUGCACACGACACAGGCGCAGGGUGCCGUGGCACACAUCUGUAAUCCUAUCACUCAGGAGGCAGAUGCAGGAGGAUCACAAGUUUGAGACCAGACUUCGUCUGCAUAGCAAGUCGAAUGCCUGCCUGCCUGGACCACAUAUUUCCAGAGCCAGGAUUUAAGAGAUUAGCAGUUUCCAGUGCUGGCACCUGAGAUGCUCACUCUUGGAACUCUCCAUCAUGCUCUCCGGAAGCCCAAACGGCCCUUGAAGAGGACCACAUGGAGAGGCCUGUGUCCUCCAUCCCAGCUGAAUGCUCGGCUUCAGUCAUCCCCAGAGUACAGCACUGUCUGCAGCCCCUGCGAAGGAGAAGCUGUCUGGUGCCAUUAGCGUCCCUGAAGAGCAGUGUUUUGCAUGUCUGCUCUACAUCACCGCCCUUCCUCCAAGACCCGACCCAGUGACUGAGGAUGCUGGCCUCACCGUGCCUUCCACCAUGGCCAUGCUGUGUGUGGACAAUCUGGGCUCCUCUUUCUCGGUCUCCCCCGGGGUCACUCGUGUGACUGUGGUACCCAGCUCUGGAGGGUCCGAGGUGGUGUCCUCACGUGUUCCACAGUCAGUGCUGGCUCUCUCUCUCUUCUGUGUCUUUCUUACAAAAGAAAAAGGAAUCAUAUGGUUUAUGGAAGAAAAUUUAGAAAUGCUGUCAAAACAAGGGAAAGAAAAUAGCACUCACCUAUAAUGCCAGCACCUCAGAAUAACCAUUGUUGGUAUUUAGACAUAUAUAUCUAUCCAGCCUUACUCUAAAAUAUUGGUAACAAUGUGUAGUCUACAAAAAUGCAUAUUAUUGAUUACUUCUUUUUUUUUUUUUUUUUUUUUUUGCAGAACCAGGGAUCAAACUCAGGACCUUGUGCUUGCCAGGCAGGCAUGGCACCACUGAGCUACAUCCCUGGCCCUACUUUUUUGUUUUGUGACACAGGGUCUUGCUAUGUAGUUCAGGCUAGCCUUGAACUUGCAGUACUAUGUAGUCUAGGGUGGCCUCGAACUCAUGGUGAUCCCUGCCUCAGCCUCCCAAGAGCUGGGAUUACAGGUGUGUGCCACUAUGCCAGGCAUUGAUUAUUUUCUUGAUAGGCACUGUGCUGUAUCCUCUGCAUAGAUUAUUUCAUUUAAUACUCACUGCACUCCUACAGAACAGAUACUAUUACUAUUACUAUUACUAUUACUAUUACUGUCUUUAGGGAAGGAAAAAUUGAUGCUUAGCGACCUUAUACAUACAUAUAUACUGUCUUGUAACUCCUUUUUUCAUAUAACAUCAUGCAUAAUUCCUCACUUGAUUGCUUUUGAACAGGCUGGAUCAAAAUAAAAAAGUAACAAAGACUUUACAUAAAAAUAAUGUGGGUUUUUUUACAAGGGAGUAAUACUCAGCCACAAAGAAACACAAACUUGAGACAUUUCUAGGUUAAUGGAUGCACCUUGAGACCAUAGUCUUAAGUGAAAUAAAUCAGACACACAUGUAAAUAUCACAUUGUCUCUCUGGUGUGAGAAGCUGAAAGGGUAAAUAAGGACCAAAAUGUAUAGUAGAUAAUGGGAAAUUGUUCAAAAGGAAAGGGAAACUGAAAGUUGGAAGGGGGAAAAGGAAGGGAAAAGAAAAAAAAUGGAAACAAAGCUUUUGUAAAUGAGGAGGGGAGGGGAUUGGGAGAAAAAGAGGAAUCAAGGUAUACCAUAAACAGGUACAAAUUCCCCUUAAUGAAUGUGAUCGUUAUGUAUAUUCAAAUUGUGCCAAUAAAAUCAAUUUUAAAAAACAAUGACUUUACAAUAUUUGGAUCUCUGAUUUCUGGCCAAAUUUGCUUCUUGAGCCUGUCAGGUGAUUGCAGAUUAGAACAAAAUAAUGAUGCAUGCCCUUCACUGCAAAGUACUAGCUUUGACAUUUCAAUCUUUUGUAAGAGCUUCAAGG